AUAGGUUUUCUUUUAAAACUCAAUAAAUUUGGCGGUAUUUUAAUCUAUUCAGAGGAAUUUGUUUUAUAAUUGAUAUUCCUCAUUAAAUCUUACUUAAUUUUAUUUAAUUUAUAUAUCGUCGUCAUAAGAAUUUCUUUAAAAAGAUUAUAAUUUUCUGAAAUUUUAAAUAUAAAUAAUGACAGAUCAAGGUGUAGUUUAUAAUUAAGUAAAAAUGAAUUACAAUAAAAUUAUUUAAACGGUGAUUUAAUUUAAAAAUUAAAUUUAAGGUGGAUUUGUUAGUAAAAUAAAUUAUAGUGUUUAUUUGAUUUAAGUUCUAAAAUAUGUACAAAUCGCCCG
rnacentral:rRNA from 1 species